rnacentral:rRNA from 1 species
UACAGAGGUCUCAAGCGUUGUUCGGAUUCAUUGGGCGUAAAGGGUGCGUAGGCGGCGUGGUAAGUCGGGUGUGAAAUCCUGGAGCUUAACUCCGAAACUGCAUUCGAUACUGCCGUGCUUGAGGACUGGAGAGGAGACUGGAAUUUACGGUGUAGCGGUGAAAUGCGUAGAUAUCGUAAGGAAGACCAGUGGCGAAGGCGGGUCUCUGGACAGUACCUGACGCUGAGGCACGAAGGCCAGGGGAGCAAACGGG